GACGAACGCUGGCGGCGUGCUUAACACAUGCAAGUCGAGCGGUAAGGCCCUUUCGGGGGUACACGAGCGGCGAACGGGUGAGUAACACGUGGGUGACCUGCCCUCAGCUCUGGGAUAAGCCCGGGAAACUGGGUCUAAUACCGGAUAUGACUUCAUGACGCAUGUUGUGGAGUGGAAAGCCUUGUGCGGCUGAGGAUGGGCCCGCGGCCUAUCAGCUUGUUGGUGGGGUGANGGCCUACCAAGGCGACGACGGGUAGCCGGCCUGAGAGGGCGACCGGCCACACUGGGACUGAGAUACGGCCCAGACUCCUACGGGAGGCAGCAGUGGGGAAUCUUGCGCAAU
rnacentral:rRNA from 1 species